rnacentral:rRNA from 1 species
UUAAAGGAAUUGACGGGGCCCCGCACAAGCAGCGGAGCAUGCGGCUUAAUUCGACGCAACGCGAAGAMCCUUACCAAGGCUUGACAUAUACCGAAAAGCAGCAGAGAUGUUGUGUCCGCAAGGGCGGUAUACAGGUGGUGCAUGGUUGUCGUCAGCUCGUGUCGUGAGAUGUUGGGUUAAGUCCCGCAACGAGCGCAACCCUCGUUCUGUGUUGCCAGCAUUUAGUUGGGGACUCACAGGAGACUGCCGUGGUUAACACGGAGGAAGGUGGGGAUGACGUCAAAUCAUCAUGCCCCUUAUGUCUUGGGCUGCNCGCAUGCUACAAUGGCAGGUACAAAGGGCUGCAAUACCGUAAGGUGGAGCGAAUCCCAAAAAGUCUGUCUCAGUUCGGAUUGAGGUYUGCAACUCGACCUCAUGAAGUCGGAGUUGCUAGUAAUCGUAGAUCANCACCGCGGCGG